GCUUUUACUUUGUUUAAUUUUCUUCAGCUUGUAAUCUUUCUUGGCCUGCUGACCGUCUCGUGAUCCAAGUCCUAGAUGAUUCUACGGAUCCCAUGGUUAAGCAAAUGGUGGAAAUGGAAUGUCAGAGAUGGGCGAGCAAAGGGAUAAA